UACGUAGGGUGCAAGCGUUAAUCGGAAUUACUGGGCGUAAAGCGUGCGCAGGCGGUUUUGUAAGUCUGUCGUGAAAGCCCCGGGCUCAACCUGGGAAUUGCGAUGGAGACUGCAAGGCUUGAAUCUGGCAGAGGGGGGGUAGAAUUCCACGUGUAGCAGUGAAAUGCGUAGAUAUCGGAAGGAACACCAGUGGCGAAAGCGGCUUCCUGGUCCAGCACCGACGUUCAGGCACGAAAGCGUGGGGAGCAAACAGG
rnacentral:rRNA from 1 species